rnacentral:rRNA from 1 species
GAGGAAAGCGGGGGGCGUGCCUAAUACAUGCAAGUCGAGCGAACAGACGAGGAGCUUGCUCCUCUGACGUUAGCGGCGGACGGGUGAGUAACACGUGGAUAACCUACCUAUAAGACUGGGAUAACUUCGGGAAACCGGAGCUAAUACCGGAUAAUAUAUUGAACCGCAUGGUUCAAUAGUGAAAGACGGUUUUGCUGUCACUUAUAGAUGGAUCCGCGCCGCAUUAGCUAGUUGGUAAGGUAACGGCUUACCAAGGCAACGAUGCGUAGCCGACCUGAGAGGGUGAUCGGCCACACUGGAACUGAGACACGGUCCAGACUCCUACGGGAGGCAGCAGUAGGGAAUCUUCCGCAAUGGGCGAAAGCCUGACGGAGCAACGCCGCGUGAGUGAUGAAGGUCUUCGGAUCGUAAAACUCUGUUAUUAGGGAAGAACAAAUGUGUAAGUAACUAUGCACGUCUUGACGGUACCUAAUCAGAAAGCCACGGCUAACUACGUG